GACGAACGCUGGCGGCGUGCCUAAUACAUGCAAGUUGAGCGCUGAAGGUUGGUACUUGUACCAACUGGAUGAGCAGCGAACGGGUGAGUAACGCGUGGGGAAUCUGCCUUUGAGCGGGGGACAACAUUUGGAAGCGAAUGCUAAUACCGCAUAAAAACUUUAAACACAAGUUUUAAGUUUGAGAGAUGCAAUUGCAUCACUCAAAGAUGAUCCCGCGUUGUAUUAGCUAGUUGGUGAGGUAAAGGCUCACCAAGGCGAUGAUACAUAGCCGACCUGAGAGGGUGAUCGGCCACAUUGGGACUGAGACACGGCCCAAACUCCUACGGGAGGCAGCAGUAGGGAAUCUUCGGCAAUGGACGAAAGUCUGACCGAGCAACGCCGCGUGAGUGAAGAAGGUUUUCGGAUCGUAAAACUCUGUUGGUAGAGAAGAACGUUGGUGAGAGUGGAAAGCUCAUCAAGUGACGGUAACUACCCAGAAAGGGACGGCUAACUACGUG
rnacentral:rRNA from 1 species